rnacentral:rRNA from 1 species
UACGAAGGGGACUAGCGUUGUUCGGAAUCACUGGGCGGAAAGCGCACGUAGGCGGAUAUGUCAGUCAGGGGUGAAAUCCCGGGGCUCAACCUCGGAACUGCCUUUGAUACAGCAUGUCUUGAGUCCGAUAGAGGUGGGUGGAAUUCCUAGUGUAGAGGUGAAAUUCGUAGAUAUUAGGAAGAACACCGGUGGCGAAGGCGGCCCACUGGAUCGGUACUGACGCUGAGGUGCGAAAGCGUGGGGAGCAAACAGG